AUACGGAGGGUGCAAGCGUUAAUCGGAAUUACUGGGCGUAAAGCGUACGUAGGCGGUCCGUUAAGUUAGAUGUGAGAGCCCCGGGCUUAACCUGGGAACUGCAUUUAAAACUGGCGAACUAGAGUUGAGUAGAGGGGAGUGGAAUUUCAGGUGUAGCGGUGAAAUGCGUAGAGAUCUGAAGGAACACCAGUGGCGAAGGCGACUCCCUGGACUCGAACUGACGCUGAGGUACGAAAGCGUGGGUAGCAAACGGGAUUAGAAACCCUAGUAGUCC
rnacentral:rRNA from 1 species